GCCUGACUGAGUCAUGGAAGCUACUGACACCACAGCCUGCUUGAAGGAGGGACCUAAUACUUAAUAGAAACUGGCAGGGGUUUUUGACAGAAGAGACCCUUCAUCAAACCAGGAAGUCAUCUGGAACUCAAACAGAAAUCCAUUUUGAGCUUUCCUACCUAGACUAAUAGCUGAACCUAAAGCAUUACUUUGAAUUUAAGCCAUCUAAUCAUGUAGUACCUUCUACUAGAAAAAUCCCUUGUCUGAAGCAGAGUUUUAGCUCCUGUGCUCCUUUGUGCAACAUACCUUGGAGAGCUGAAGCAAAAUGGAAGUGACGAGGCGGAGACAAGUAAAGGCACUUCUCCUACAGGGAAGUGGGAAAUGAGGCUACAGUCCCCUUGUAGCUGUAGCUCCAGAUCCUCCUCUGCCUCAAGAUGAUCCCACAACAGGUAUGAUCAGAAUGUUUUCUCCAUGAUCUUACCUCACGUACCCGUGACAGACCCCUGUGACUGGCCCUUCAAGUUUGCAUUUCACAAGGUGCCC